rfam:Felis catus isolate Cinnamon breed Abyssinian chromosome E1, whole genome shotgun sequence.
ACCUGGCUGGCUCAGUCGGUAGAGUGUGCAACUCCUGAUCUCAGGUUGUGAGUUCGAGCCCCACGUUGGGUG